UAGGGAAUCUUCGGCAAUGGACGAAAGUCUGACCGAGCAACGCCGCGUGAGUGAAGAAGGUUUUCGGAUCGUAAAACUCUGUUGUUAGAGAAGAACAAGGACGUUAGUAACUGAACGUCCCCUGACGGUAUCUAACCAGAAAGCCACGGCUAACUACCUGCCAGCAGCCGCGGUAAUACGUAGGUGGCAAGCGUUGUCCGGAUUUAUUGGGCGUAAAGCGAGCGCAGGCGGUUUCUUAAGUCUGAUGUGAAAGCCCCCGGCUCAACCGGGGAGGGUCAUUGGAAACUGGGAGACUUGAGUGGAGAAGAGGAGGGUGGAAUUCCAUGUGUAGCGGUGAAAUGCGUAGAUAUAUGGAGGAACACCAGUGGCGAAGGCGGCUCUCUGGUCUGUAACUGACGCUGAGGCUCGAAAGCGUGGGGAGCAAACAGG
rnacentral:rRNA from 1 species